UACGAAGGGGGCUAGCGUUGUUCGGAAUCAUUGGGCGUAAAGCGCGUGUAGGCGGCCCGAUAAGUCCGCUGUGAAAGUCCAGGGCUCAACCCUGGGAUGCCGGUGGAUACUGUCGGGCUCGAGUCCGGAAGAGGCGAGUGGAAUUCCUGGUGUAGCGGUGAAAUGCGCAGAUAUCAGGAAGAACACCCGUGGCUAAGGCGGCUCUCUAGUACGGUACUGACGCUGAGACGCGAAAGCGUGGGGAGCGAACAGG
rnacentral:rRNA from 1 species